CUUAGUUGUGCGCAGUGCUGUUUGAAAGCACGUGGUCACAAAGUGUUAGUCAGUCGGGAUAAUGAUAACAGCAGAGCAUGCUGGUUGGCAUGGCAACGACAGCAGCAUGGUGUGCGACAGCUCUUGCUGACAGCUAUGUUUGCGGAGAAAUACACGUGGCAACAGUGCGGUGAAGGCUGUUGGAUCUGGGCCCGGUGACCUGGUGACUGGACUGCAAGACGGGGUCCAGGAAACUGAUGCCAUGGAAACGGAAUGUCGCUGGGUGCCAGGGUUCCAAGCCUUCGUGCGUGUGUCAGACUGCUUCGACUGGGGGGGGGCAUGGUUGGCCCCCAGCCCCACUUGGACUCGUCCCUUUUGUUUAUUUGGCCCCGAUGGCUGGAGAACAGAGUAGGGCAGGGGUGGGGGUGGGGGUUCAGUGGGGCCUCAUCCUGAAAGAUCUGCCCUUGUGUGCAGCCACACAGUCAGUAAGCAGUGAGAUCAGGUUUCUAACACACUUACCUUAUCUUGCACUCGCUCUGGUUUAAUUCGCCAGUACCUCCCAGUUUCCAUUUCUGGUCCAAAUCCUGAUGUUAGAACCUCACACACACACUCUGUCACAGGGAAGAGGGGAUUUUCACUGUUUCCCUUCAAAUAAGGACUUCCGGGUCGAUUAAUCUGCUAUUUUCAUGAUCUUGGGAACUAAUAGUCACCUUUUCUGACAUACCUCAGCCACACAGUCAUGUAGAGCUUUGUUGAUCCCAUCCUGACCUUCCCAACCUAGUCCACGAUUUCUCACUUACUCGAUCAAGGCCAUUUCUGUUUUACUGUCACACGCCAGAGCCCUAUGUUGAACCACAGUGCGAUUUACUCUUUUUAUCAUUAAUAAAAUUAUAUUGGUUUAAUAUUUAAGAUGGCGAUUGGGAUGUGUGCUAUCGAUAUGAGAAGAGACACGCUGUUUUGUCAUGAUAAAUUUGGUACUCUAAUGGCCGAAGGAUGAGAAAGGAACUCAAAGAACUUGAAAGACGGGUUGGAAAGGAAGGAACUUUUCUACAGCAGAGCAAUGGGAAAUGAAGAUGAUAUAUCUACACAAAAAUUUUCCUCAUUUACCAUACAUGCAAUCUUGUGCUGUCUGCAUACCUCUGCACUGUGCACACAAGUCUGCAAUAUGCUAUGUAUACAAGUUCAGUUGGUGAUGAUUUAUAUAUUUUACAGUGAAUGCCAUAUCCUUUGUGCAUUCAGAACAUAAAGCUCUUAAGUUUUUUAUUUUUAUUUUACUUAAAUAGUGCCACUCGCGCUCUUUGUUGAACAGGAUCAGCCUUAGAGUCUGAAGUGCCUGCAAUUCAAGGCCAACAGGGCCAAAUUUCCCAUCUCCAGAGAGGCCAACAGGGCCUAAGUAUAGGGAGGCUUCCCAAGAAUAUAUAUACAGUUCUUGUAGGAAAACACCGUAUUUAUCGGAAGCCUACUGUAGGACAGCAGUGUCAGCACUUAGCAGUGGCCCCAUUUCCAUGAGAGAAGUUUCCCUAGAGUCCACUCCGGAGGUGUCAGUCAAGUAAAAAUUUCUCAGAGGAAACAGUCACCAGCCACAUCCUGUUCCCACGCAUUUAACGGUCCGCUGCAGUUUUACCCGUUCCCAAACAUUUAGCUAACACACAAAAAACCAUUAUGACGACGCCAAUGCCAUUUGGAUCAUGACCCGUAAAGAGCAACUGUUCUGUAUUUGCUCCAUAACAGCUGCAGUAGCUCAAACAAGCAUGUUGAAAUGCACCAGCAGCACUGGACAUACCAUUUCAAAUGUAAGAUCAAAAGUAUGUGAUUAGAAUGUUCUUAACAUUCUAAUGCUGAUGUCACAGUCACUACUGGUAAAUGAAAGCAA